CGCAGCCGCGGUAAUACGAGGGGAGCUAGCGUUAUUCGGAAUUACUGGGCGUAAAGCGCACGUAGGCGGCUUUGUAAGUUAGAGGUGAAAGCCCAGAGCUCAACUCUGGAAUUGCCUUUAAGACUGCAUCGCUUGAAUCCAGGAGAGGUGAGGGGAAUUCCGAGUGUAGAGGUGAAAUUCGUAGAUAUUCGGAAGAACACCAGUGGCGAAGGCGACACACUGGCUCAUUACUGACGCUGAGGCGCGAAAGCGUGGGGAGCAAACAGGAUUAGAUACCCCGGUAGUCCCUGUCUCUUAUACA
rnacentral:rRNA from 1 species